rnacentral:rRNA from 1 species
CCUACGGGAGGCAGCAGUAGGGAAUAUUCCGCAAUGGAGGAAACCCUGAUGCAGCGACGCCGCGUGAGUGAAGAAGGAAUUCGUUAUGUAAAGCUCUAUCAGCAGGGAAGAACAUGACGUUACCUGAGUGAGAAGCCCCGGCUAACUACGUGCCAGCAGCCGCGGUAUUACGUAGGGGGCAAGCGUGAUCCGGAUGUACUGGGGGUAAAGGGAGCGGGGGCGGCAGUGCAAGUCUGGAGUGAAAGGCGGGGGCUCAACCGCCGGACUGCACUGGAAACUGUACGGCUGGAGUGCAGGAGAGGGAAGUGGAAUUCCUAGUGUAGCGGUGAAAUGCGUAGAUAUGAGGAGGAACACCAGUGGCGAAGGCGAGUUACUGGACUGUAACUGACGUUGAGGCUCGAAAGCGUGGGGAGCAAACAGGAUUAGAUACCCCAGUAGUC